rnacentral:tRNA from 1 species
GCCCUGGUGGCACAACGGUUAAGCUCUUGGCUGCUAACCAAAAGGUUGGAAGUUCAAACCCGCUCAGGGGCU